CUACGGGAGGCAGCAGUGGGGAAUUUUGCACAAUGGGCGAAAGCCUGAUGCAGCGACGCCGCGUGGAGGAUGAAGGCCUUCGGGUUGUAAACUCCUUUUCUCAGGAACGAUGAUGACGGUACCUGAGGAAUAAGCCACGGCUAACUCUGUGCCAGCAGCCGCGGUAAGACAGAGGUGGCGAGCGUUGUUCGGAAUCACUGGGCUUAAAGGGCGCGUAGGUGGUAGUGUAAGUCUGAGGUGGAAUCCUGCGGCUUAACUGCAGAACUGCCUUGGAAACUGCAUUACUUGAGUCAGUGAGGGGAGGGUAGAAUUCCCGGUGUAGCGGUGAAAUGCGUAGAUAUCGGGAGGAAGGCCUGUGGCGAAGGCGGCCCUCUGGCGCUGGACUGACACUGAGGCGCGAAAGCGUGGGUAGCAAACAGGAUUAGAUACCCCGGUAGA
rnacentral:rRNA from 1 species